AACAUCGCCUCUUGCAACUUAAGAAUAAGAGGUCCUGCCUGCCCGGUGACUAUGUUUAACGGCCGCGGUACCCUGACCGUGCAAAGGUAGCACAAUCACUUGUCUCUUAAAUAGAGACCCGUAUGAAUGGCAAGACGAGGGCUUAACUGUCUCCUUCCCUAAGUCAAUGAAACUGAUCUCCCCGUGAAGAAGCGGGGAUACCUCCAUAAGACGAGAAGACCCUGUGGAGCUUAAGACGUAUAAUAGACUAUAAUAAACCCCAAAUUAAAGACUCAACCUUAUAAUUGCUAUUAAAACUGUCUUUGGUUGGGGCGACCACGGGGUAAAACAAAACCCCCACGCGGAAUAGGAUAUCCCUUUAUUUAUCCUCAAGUUCAGGGCGCCAGCCCAGGAAAACAGAAUUUCUGACCUCACGACCCGGCACAGCCGAUCAACGGGCCAAGUUACCCCAGGGAUAACAGCGCAAUCCUCUUCUAGAGUUCAUAUCGACAAGAGGGUUUACGACCUCGAUGUUGGAUCAGGACAUCCUAUUGGUGUAGCAGCUAUUAAGGGUUCG
rnacentral:rRNA from 1 species